rnacentral:lncRNA from 1 species
UCUCUUAAUUUUCUCUCCCAAUCUUCAUCUAUUUUAGAAUCCGGUCGGACCAUGUUGUAGCUGGCGGGUUAAGGAACAUUUCUACCCAAUCAGAUUUUCAAACAAUGUAAGUACAUUUUUGCUCUAAAGAUCUUUUGUUUCUUUGUUUCUCCUUAGGUUUAGUCAUCAAUUUUGGUGGGGUCAGUUGAGAGAUUAAUCCUCUCAACUUAUUCUACUAUAUACUAAAUUUUUGUUCGGUUUGGAUAACUUGCAUUAGGCCUGUAAAUCUUGAAGUUUAUCUAGAUUGUGGGGAAUAAAAUUCUAGAAGUUGUUUGGAAAACAAACAAUUAAGGUAAGGGAAACUAAAUUUAUUUUUUAAUAGUACCUUGGGAUAGAAGAUCUGAAUGUGGAAGGGACGUGAUCCCAAUAUUCAAUUUCUCUUGCAGGGAUGUUGUGUGUUUAUAUAUUGUGUUAUUUGUUUAUAUAUUAUUUAAACUUAAAAAUAUUAGAUUUUGAUGGUUUAGUAUUUAAGUGUUGUUUUUUUUAUUUUAUGUUAAAUAGACUUUUGAAUAUUGUGGAUAAUGUUUUGAAAGACAUUGUAUGAUGAAAAUAGAAUGGAAUUGAAUUCAUACAUUUGAGAUAAUGUAUGGAUUGAUGUUUGUAUGUGUAUUAAACAUUGAUACAUAUGUGGUAACAGAGAUCUCCGAAUUUCACUGAUAAUCUAAGUCACAUAGACUAAGAUAUCAGGUGGUGAGAAGCUGAUGGGGGAGUUCAUGCACACCAAGACAUAUGAGAUGCACGACUUGGGUUGUAUUGAAC